rnacentral:lncRNA from 1 species
CUCACUCACUCACAUUGCUUUCACUUCUUCGCUCCCACUCACCUGGAAAUGAGGUUUUCUCCCUUUUCUUUCAUUCUUUCUUUCUUUCUUUUUCGUUUUACUUUUGCUAAAAUCUCAAACUUUUACAUGUUCUGUGUGAAGAAAAACUAUUAUUACUUAAUUUUAGCACUACCCUUUUGAAUUUGAUGUUAUUAUUGUCUUUGCUACAUUUGUUUCAAGCAUCAAAAUCAUAUCUUUGUAAUAAUGAAACAAUAAAAUGGAGAUUUUUGAAAAUUUGUUAUUGACUCAUUUGUUUGUAACAUGUAAAGUUUCAAUAUUUAUACUCAUUUAAAUAAUUUAUGUUUAUUAUGUAAUUGAAAUGUUGGUUAUAAUCGCGAUAUUUGAUAUUCCGGAGAAUUGCACUGAAAAGGGUGCUGAUAAAUGGUUUCAAUGAUGUCCGCGUUGCUGUUGCAGAGACAUAAAAAACCCUUGAUGCUGCGGCUCACAUUGUAGUCAUGGAAAAAUUUGCAAAACCCUAUAAAAAGUCUCAAUAUUCUGAGACAUUAUUUUUAUUAAGUAAUUGAAUGUUGGUUUUAAACCACAGUAUUUGAUAUUGCGGAAAAUCACAUUCAAAAGUUGUUGACAUGGUUUCUAUGAUGAUCGUGUUGAGGUUGCGGUUGCAGAUAUUGUGAUUGCAGAAAUUUUUGUAAAA